GACGAACGCUGGCGGCGUGCUUAACACAUGCAAGUCGAACGAAGUGGCGAACGGGGGAGUAAUACGUGAGUAACCUGCCCUCCUUUUUGGGAUCAGCCUUGGAAACGGGGGCUAAUACCGAAUAGAGGGGGAUGGGCUCGCGGCCUUUAAGCUUGUUGGUGGGGUGAUGGCCUACCAAGGCGGUGACUGGUAGCCGGCCUGAGAGGGUGACCUGCCACAUUGGGACUGAGAUACGGCCCAAACUGCUACGGGAGGCGGGAAUGGGGGAUAUUGCACAAGGGGCGAAAGACUGAUGCAGCGAAGCCGCGUGGGGGAUUAAGGCUUUCGGGUUGUAAACCUCAUUCGUUAUCGAACGGGUAGGUAGAGAAGAAGCGCCGGCUAACUACGUGCCAGCAGCCGCGGUAAUAC
rnacentral:rRNA from 1 species